CAGAGACUGCAAGCGUUAUUCGGAUUCACUGGGCGUAAAGGGUGCGCAGGCGGCCAAGUGUGUGAGGCGUGAAAGCCUGGAGCUUAACUCCAGAAUUGCACCUCAAACUACAUGGCUAGAGCAUUGGAGAGGGUAGCGGAAUUCACGGUGUAGCAGUGAAAUGCGUAGAUAUCGUGAGGAACACCAGAGGCGAAGACGGCUACCUGGACAAUUGCUGACGCUCAGGCACGAAAGCGUGGGGAGCAAAAGGGAUUAGAUACCCCUGUAGUCCACGCCCUAAACGGUGCACACUAGGUCUUGGCGGAUUCGACCCCACCAGGGCCCAAGCUAACGCGUUAAGUGUGCCGCCUGAGGACUACGGCCGCAAGGCUA
rnacentral:rRNA from 1 species